AGAGCGAACGCUGGCGGCAGGCUUAACACAUGCAAGUCGAGCGCCGUAGCAAUACGGAGCGGCAGACGGGUGAGUAACACGUGGGAACGUACCUUUUGGUUCGGAACAACCCAGGGAAACUUGGGCUAAUACCGGAUAAGUCCGUAAGGAGAAAGAUUUAUCGCCAAAAAGAUCGGCCCGCGUCUGAUUAGCUAGUUGGUGAGGUAACGGCUCACCAAGGCGACGAUCAGUAGCUGGUCUGAGAGGAUGAUCAGCCACAUUGGGACUGAGACACGGCCCAAACUCCUACGGGAGGCAGCAGUGGGGAAUAGUUGGACAAGUGGGCGCAAGCCUGAUCCAGCCAUGCCGCGUGAGUGAUGAAGGCCCGUAGGGUUGUAAAGCUCGUUUCGGCGGGAAGAUAAUGACCGGUACCCGCAAGAACGAACGCCCCGGACUAACCGUUCGGUACGCCGAGCCGAGGCCCGAC
rnacentral:rRNA from 1 species